rnacentral:rRNA from 1 species
AGUGAACGCUGGCGGUAGGCCUAACACAUGCAAGUCGAACGGCAGCACAGUAGGAACUUGCUCUUACGGGUGGCGAGUGGCGGACGGGUGAGGAAUACAUCGGAAUCUACUUUUUCGUGGGGGAUAACGUAGGGAAACUUACGCUAAUACCGCAUACGACCUACGGGUGAAAGCAGGGGAUCUUCGGACCUUGCGCGAUUGAAUGAGCCGAUGUCGGAUUAGCUAGUUGGCGGGGUAAAGGCCCACCAAGGCGACGAUCCGUAGCUGGUCUGAGAGGAUGAUCAGCCACACUGGAACUGAGACACGGUCCAGACUCCUACGGGAGGCAGCAGUGGGGAAUAUUGGACAAUGGGCGCAAGCCUGAUCCAGCCAUACCGCGUGGGUGAAGAAGGCCUUCGGGUUGUAAAGCCCUUUUGUUGGGAAAGAAAAGCAGCAGGUUAAUACCCCGCUGUUCUGACGGUACCCAAAGAAUAAGCACCGGCUAACUUCGUG